rnacentral:tRNA from 1 species
GCCGCCUUAGCUCAGUUGGUAGAGCAACCGCUUCGUAAGCGGUAGGUCCCCGGUUCAAAUCCGGGAGGCGGCU